rnacentral:lncRNA from 1 species
CCCUGGGGCGGGGCUGUGUCCCCCCUAUAAAGCCCAGGAAGCCGCAGUACCCAGGCCAGCCAGCCUUCACCUCCAGCUCUGCACACCCAGCCUUACAGGUCCCAGCAGGAUGUCGGACACCGAGGAGCAGGACUAUGAGGAGGAGCAGGCUGAAGGUGAGUGGAUGGGGCAGCCUGGGCAGGAGGUCGCCCUGGCAUCUGACACCGGGCUUGGGCGGAGAGGACACUGGGUCUGGAGUCGGCCCCUGGUCCCGCCCCCGGGGACCCCCAUCUACACCCGGGCCUCCCCACCUCGCCUGGCCCCGCCCUUGGACUCCGCCC